rnacentral:lncRNA from 1 species
GAGGUAACAUGCAUUGCUAUCGGAGGUCGUUUGACCCCCUAAAUAAUUCGCCGAAGUUGGGACUUCGACACAGUUUUUCCGUAGUGCCGGAAAAAUUUGUCAAAAUCCGAUUCUUCCUCUUUUAACCGCCUCUUUUACAACCCUUAUCCAACCCCUCUAGACUAUAUCCACCCUUUGUAUAGCCUAAUGUCAUCAAAAGACUAGAUAGGGACGGAUAUUUACCUUUUUCUUUUUGGAAAUCGAGGUCCUUGCGUAGAGGGGAAGGAGAUCUACGUUUUUUCCUUCAGCUGGAAGUGCAACCGGGAUCCCUUUUCUCCUCGAAUCCCCUUCCUCUUCUUCUUUCUUCUUCUUCUUCUUCUCUUUUUCUUUCUUUCUUUCCUCUCUGUUUCACGC